GCUGCGAUGGCCGAGUGGUUAAGGCGUUGGACUCGAAAUCCAAUGCGAUAUUCCCGCGCAGGUUCGAAUCCUGUUCGCAGCG
rnacentral:tRNA from 1 species